GAUGAAGAACGUAGCGAAAUGCGAUACGUAAUGUGAAUUGCAGAAUUCAGUGAAUCAUCGAGUCUUUGAACGCACAUUGCGCCCCCUGGUAUUCCGGGGGGCAUGCCUGUCCGAGCGUCAUUGCUGCCCUCAAGCCCGGCUUGUGUGUUGGGUCUCGUCCCCCUUCCCGGGGGGACGGGCCCGAAAGGCAGCGGCGGCACCGCGUCCGGUCCUCGGGCGUAUGGGGCUUUGUCACCCGCUCUGUAGGCCCGGCCGGCGCUUGCCGAUCAACCAAAACUUUUUUCCAGGUUGACCUCGGAUCAGGUAGGGAUACCCGCUGAACUUAAGCAUAUCAAUAAGCGGAGGA
rnacentral:misc_RNA from 1 species